AUUGAACGCUGGCGGCAGGCCUAACACAUGCAAGUCGAGCGGAUGAAGGGAGCUUGCUCCUGGAUUCCGCGGCGGACGGGUGAGUAAUGCCUAGGAAUCUGCCUGGUAGUGGGGGAUGACGUCCGGAAACGGGCGCUAAUACCGCAUACGUCCUGCGGGUGAAAGUGGGGGAUCUUCGGACCUCACGCUAUCAGAUGAGCCUAGGUCGGAUUAGCUAGUUGGUGGGGUAAAGGACUACCUAGGCGACGAUCCGUAACUGGUCUGCGAGGAUGAUCAGUCACACUGGAACUGUGACACGGUCCAGACUCCUACGGGAGGCAGCAGUGGGGAAUAUUGGGCAAUGGGCGAAAGCCUGAUCCAGCCAUGCCGCGUGUUUGAAGAAGGUCUUCGGAUUGUAAAGCACUUUAAGUGGGGAGGAAGGGCAGUAAGUUAAUACCUUGCUGUGUUGACGGUACCAACAGAAUAAGCACCGGCUAACUUCGUG
rnacentral:rRNA from 1 species